rnacentral:misc_RNA from 1 species
AAGUCGUAACAAGGUUUCCGUAGGUGAACCGUGCGGAAGGAAUAUUAAUGGAGAUCAUGCCCAGUUCGGGUAAGACCUCCACCCCCAGGAUGGUUUACCGUACCCGUUGCUUUGGCGGUCCCGUCGCAAGACGGGCCGCCAGAGGACCUUUAAAACCCGUAUUAUCAUUGUCGUCUGAGUACUAUACAAUAGUUAAAAAC